rnacentral:misc_RNA from 1 species
GCAAAAGUCGUAACACGGUUUCCGUAGGUGAACCUGCGGAAGGAUCAUUCACACAUUCUGUCCAACAGGAGCUGGUAUUCAUUCAUUUCUGUGUGAAAUGGCACAGAUGGAUGUUGCAAGCUUCCUGUCUUGGGCGGCUGAGUAUUGAACCUUUUUAUCCCUCCCACAACCUUUGAAUCGGUUUGUUGAGUUUUCUUUCCACGACGAGUUUUCUUAAUAUUUAAAAGAAUGAAAGUUGCGCGCUUGCUGGUCACUCAUUGAGAGCCGCAUUUGUAACUGCUCUCGUGAGCAGUGGAAGCGGGGCUUUUUAGGUGAGUGGCUGCAUGCGCGCAUGCGUAAUAUUUAUCAGCUCUUAAAACUUUCAAUUUAUCACCCCUUAAAGCUUUCA